UAGGGAAUAUUAGUAAUGGGCGAAAGCCUGAACUAGCAACGCCGCGUGUGCGAAGAAGGCCUUCGGGUUGUAAAGCACUUUUUGAGAGGAUGAGGAAGGACGGUACUCUCAGAAUAAGUCUCGGCUAACUACGUGCCAGCAGCCGCGGUAACACGUAGGAGGCAAACGUUAUCCGGAUUUACUGGGCGUAAAGCGCGUGUAGGUGGUUUGGUAAGUAGGGCGUGAAAGCUCCUGGCUCAACUGGGAGAGGCCGUUCUAAACUGCCGAACUAGAGGAUGGUAGAGGGAGGUGGAAGUCCGGGUGUAGCGGUGGAAUGCGCAGAGAUCCGGAGGAACACCAGUGGCGAAAGCGGCCUCCUGGACCAUUCCUGACACUCAGACGCGAAAGCUAGGG
rnacentral:rRNA from 1 species